AUAUAAAACAAGUAAUAAAAGGAGGAUAUGAGCUCCAUUGAGCCUAUUCACGUAGGCAUGAAAAAUCAACCAAUGAGAAAUAUUUUUCUCUCUUUCGAGAGUGCCACAUCAUUUCAGAGAGAUGGACGAAAAUGGACACGUGCCACCGAAUGACGUUUCGGGUUUUCUUAGCUUCGUAAUCUUCGAUUUUAGCGGUUCAGAUGUCCAUGGCUGCCGAUUAAAAUAUCUGAAAUGUUUGUCCUUCUCUUUAACUACACCAUUAAUCCAAUCAUUAAACUACACAUACCUCUCCUACCAUUUAUUCAGUCUCAUCAUCGGCGGAGGUGCAGGUACAACCUCGAACUAUAAAUGAGUCUGUUUGAUGCGAUGAACAUCUCCACCGGUAAUAUCUCUGAAAGAUUAAACUCUGUAAUGCAAAAUCUCUAUUUUUAUACAUGUCUUCCAAAACUGAUUUGGUACUUUUUCAUAACCUAUUCAGCAAACACAUAAUCACAUUCACUCGAUGUCAAGGCCUUCAAACCCUACACGACUGGGUAUAGCUUGAUUCCUUUUGAAUUGACUUGAUAUCGAGUGGCGUUUGUAACUGGGUGUGAUGUGAUUUUUUAAUCUGUCUUUCGGUUUGCCUUUAAUCGAUUUUUGUGGGUUUCUGUUUUCUCCUCAGUAAUCUAUGAAUCCUUACUGAUCUGAGUGUGGCUUGAUUGUUGUUUUUGGUGAUAUGAUAUUUAUAUAUUCUAAUCAGAUUCGAUAUAGUCUAUAGGGAAGAUUUAUUAUGUCCAUUAACACUUUCGUAAGUGCUUCUGUUCAAGAGUUUGCUUACACAUGUAUAUCUAAAUUUGAGAUGAUAGAGAGCUUUGCAUCAACAGCUUGGAAUGGUUAGACCACCUUGGAGACCACAAAGAGGCUUAUAUGAAAAAUUUGUUUAUGUUCUCCGCGCUUGGUUCUUUGAGCAUUUCCUUCAUCUAAAUCCAAAGGAAUCAGAGCAAAUCAUGCUUGCAUAGCAAACAUCUAUAUCGAUUUUUGGUCUUCCUUUGAUUUGAGUGGUUCUCUGGUUUUAACAAACUUUAGGUUGUGAAUUGAUUUAUUAAUGCGAGAGUUUGGCUAUGUAACCGAUUAUCAUAGAGACGUAUAAAUAAUAUUUUGGUGAUGCAUCAGAGCUUACACCAAUUCCAGGAUAUCUUCAACGCCUACGAACUGCUCAUCCAGACAGAUUGAGUUGGUGGCGCUGUAGGUGUAGUGGAGAUACGAAUCAAGUUCGCAGAGGUCCUGGCAUUUCUGGAAUGGAGUUCUUUCGGCGGAGCGUACGUUUUGUGUAAAGAAAUUUUGUGGAAUCGCUGAUGAGAUAAGAGAGACGAAGCAAGAAACGGCUAAAAUGAGAAGGAGAGAAAAAUGUGAAGCCAUGGCUGAUGAGUUCUGGUCUGGUGUUUGAUAAGACACUGGACAUGUAACCUUUGUUUAUAUAGACUGACCUUAUAGGUUA